rnacentral:lncRNA from 1 species
CCAUAACGGGGCGGGGGGGAAACGGGGCGCCCCAUAGGGGAACGGCCAUAUAUGGGGACGUGGGGGGGGCACGGACAUGUAUGGGGUCACUGCCGGGUAUGGGGUCAUUGUCACAUAUGGGGUCACUGUCAUAUUAGGGGACAUAUGGGGUCACUGUCACAUAUGGGGUCAUUGCCAUAUAUGGGGUCAUUGUCACAUAUGGGGUCACUGUUGGGUAUGGGGUCACAUUUGGGGUCAUUGUCCCAUAUGGGGUCAUUGUCAUAUUUGGGGUCACUGUCACAUAUGGGGUCAUUGCCACAUAUGGGGUCGCUGUCGGGUAUGGGGUCACAUUUGGGGUCAUUGUCCCAUAUGGGGUCAUUGUCAUAUUUGGGGUCAUUGUCCCAUAUGGGGUCAUUGUUGGGUAUGGGGUCAUUGUCCCAUAUGGGGUCACUGUCCCGUAUGGGGUCACAUUUGGGGUCAUCGUCCCAUAUGGGGUCAUUGUCAUAUUUGGGGUCACCGUCCUCU